UUUAUGGAGAGUUUGAUCCUGGCUCAGGAUGAACGCUGGCGGCGUGCCUAAUACAUGCAAGUCGAGCGAACGGACGAGAAGCUUGCUUCUCUGAUGUUAGCGGCGGACGGGUGAGUAACACGUAGAUAACCUACCUAUAAGACUGGGAUAACUUCGGGAAACCGGAGCUAAUACCGGAUAAUAUUUUGAACCGCAUGGUUCAAAAGUGAAAGACGGUCUUGCUGUCACUUAUAGAUGGAUCCGCGCUGCAUUAGCUAGUUGGUAAGGUAACGGCUUACCAAGGCAACGAUGCAUAGCCGACCUGAGAGGGUGAUCGGCCACACUGGAACUGAGACACGGUCCAGACUCCUACGGGAGGCAGCAGUAGGGAAUCUUCCGCAAUGGGCGAAAGCCUGACGGAGCAACGCCGCGUGAGUGAUGAAGGUCUUCGGAUCGUAAAACUCUGUUAUUAGGGAAGAACAUAUGUGUAAGUAACUGUGCACAUCUUGACGGUACCUAAUCAGAAAGCCACGGCUAACUACGUGCCAGCAGCCGCGGUAAUACGUAGGUGGCAAGCGUUAUCCGGAAUUAUUGGGCGUAAAGCGCGCGUAGGCGGUUUUUUAAGUCUGAUGUGAAAGCCCACGGCUCAACCGUGGAGGGUCAUUGGAAACUGGAAAACUUGAGUGCAGAAGAGGAAAGUGGAAUUCCAUGUGUAGCGGUGAAAUGCGCAGAGAUAUGGAGGAACACCAGUGGCGAAGGCGACUUUCUGGUCUGUAACUGACGCUGAUGUGCGAAAGCGUGGGGAUCAAACAGGAUUAGAUACCCUGGUAGUCCACGCCGUAAACGAUGAGUGCUAAGUGUUAGGGGGUUUCCGCCCCUUAGUGCUGCAGCUAACGCAUUAAGCACUCCGCCUGGGGAGUACGACCGCAAGGUUGAAACUCAAAGGAAUUGACGGGGACCCGCACAAGCGGUGGAGCAUGUGGUUUAAUUCGAAGCAACGCGAAGAACCUUACCAAAUCUUGACAUCCUU
rnacentral:rRNA from 1 species